UGAAGGAGACAGAUACAUAACUUGAUAAUAAAUUAAAAACAAGUCAAUGAACCUUAUCACAUGAACAUACUAUAUAAUGCUACAUGCUAAUUCAAGACUGACAAGGCCACAAUCAACCUGAAGCCUUCAAAAAUUAAUGGAAGAACCCAGUUAUCAGAUCCUCUCCAUGACUCAUCUCUUCUCUAAGAUGAAUAAAAGCUCACUAGAAGAGAUGAUUUUUGGAGUGGCAUUUGUGACAGCCUUUGCUCUUCUGCAACUGCCCUACGAAAAAAUAGAUGGAUAUCCGAGAAUUGCUAGGCACUGUCGCCGUCUUGCUAUUAUUUCCAUAGCUGUAGCAGUAGGAAUACUGAUUUGGUUAGUAUUAGCAUCAAAUUUGAGGAUUGUAUCAUCGAUUUCAUUUCCUCUCUGUAGAUAUUAAAUUUAUGUCUUUUAUUGUUCUAGCCGUGAUAUGAUUGGUGACUGCGCAACUAAAGGGCUUACAUAUUAUGGUAAUACAUGAUUUGUUUUGCUUGAA